rnacentral:rRNA from 1 species
CCUACGGGGGGCUGCAGUGGGGAAUAUUGGACAAUGGGGGCAACCCUGAUCCAGCCAUGCCGCGUGUGUGAAGAAGGCCCUCGGGUUGUAAAGCACUUUCAGUGAGGAAGAACGCCUGGUGGUUAAUACCCAUCAGGAAAGACAUCACUCACAGAAGAAGCACCGGCUAACUCCGUGCCAGCAGCCGCGGUAAUACGGAGGGGGCGAGCGUUAAUCGGAAUUACUGGGCGUAAAGCGCGCGUAGGUGGCUUGAUAAGCCGGUUGUGAAAGCCCCGGGCUCAACCUGGGAACGGCAUCCGGAACUGUCAAGCUAGAGUGCAGGAGAGGAAGGUAGAAUUCCCGGUGUAGCGGUGAAAUGCGUAGAGAUCGGGAGGAAUACCAGUGGCGAAGGCGGCCUUCUGGACUGACACUGACACUGAGGUGCGAAAGCGUGGGUAGCAAACAGGAUUAGAUACCCUUGUAGUC